AAGGGAAGGGAAGGGAAGGGAAGGGAAGGAUCAUCCUAGAGCUCUCAUUCCCAACAUACCAUCCUCACAAGAGACCUGUGACCCCCCAUUCUCUGCAGGUGUUGGCUGAUGUUUAGCUACCUUGCCAUUGAUUUCACAGCAUUUGCCAGGCUGUGUUGGGGGACAGGGACACAUGUGGCAUUGCCCAGGUCUGUGCUGCCUGGCACAAGCUUUUCAUGCUUCCGUUGAGAGCACAGAAGAAGAGUGGCAUGGCAGGGUAGAUGAAAGGAGCUGCAGCUCCAGGAUACACUGGUCAAAUCAAAUUGGGUUUUCACAUCCUAAUUACGAAACAUUGGCCAGCACAGGGCCAAGAACACCAUACCACAAAUCUGCUGGUCUUUGAGGCAUUUCCAGCUUGCUAGAAGACACACCUGGGCAGAACUUACUGAGGCAGCUUGGAGGGCCCUGUCAAGGGUUUCUCAUUGCCCUCAGGGCAUAUGGAAAGAGGACCAGAAUCACAAGAAGGCAAGUCCUUGGGACAGGGAAUGGAGAAGCAUAUGGCACACCACAGCUUGGCCAAUGUGCUUGGAAAGGCACAGAGGCAGUUCAUUGCCAGAACAGCCCCAUGGUGAAAUGGGGUCUCCUUGGGAUGGUGGGACCCUAACCCAGCCCUGUAGGGCGCCACCAUGCCCCAGGCAACCCAAACACCCCUUGCUUUACCAUGUGCCUAAGGACAGCCCUUGCAUGGGGGGUUUAUUGAGCAUGACAAGCCAGCUGGGACACCAGAUAACCUUUGCCUGUCUGGGGACAGUCCCUCAGCAGGGUCAGGCACACUGGCCACAGAGGAGUGGAAAAUUCCUCUCACUGUGCUGGCGCUCAGUACAGCCUGAGCACAUCAGCUGUCAUCCUGCAGGACUUGGCAUGCCCUGGAGUGUUUAUCAACACUGUUUCGCAAGAGCCAUGGCAUACAGCCUGGCAGAGGCAUGCAAGCCACUUGGGCAACCAGCUCUGCUGAAAGCCUGUGCUCUUGGGAAACACUCCAGGCUGGGAGUCUAGUGUGGAUUGAUGUCAUCUGAGUGGCCAUCAGCACCUUCUCCUUUCUGGUCUCCUGAGUUCAAGGACGGAGCUGUGAGCUUUGGUCUUGGCCCUCUCUCAGUCCUGUAGAACCCUUCCCUUGGUCUCACCUGGCUGUAGAUGACUUCAACCUGCUGGUUCCCCACUCACCCAGGGCAUGCUCCUCCAUCCUCAGGUCUGUGGCUUAGGCAGAGAGGUACCCCACUCCCUCCAAGUGGUUUGGCGGUAUCAGCUGGAGCAACAGAAUAAUUGUGGUGACAGCACAUCUGGCUGAGGGCUGCCCUCCAGGCAUAGACCAGUGGCUGCAUGGUGCCUAAGGGGUGACACAGCAGGGCCAGCCUGUCCCCAGUUAACUCCAGAUAUGCACAACUGACACAAUUCCCUCAGGCACAUCCUGGAUGACACUGGCUAAACAGGCAGGGGACAUGGAGUUGCAGCCAGGCCCUGGGAGCCCUGCGGGUGCCCCAGACAGGGCUGUCUAUGCCCACCCAACUCCAUGGUGCUGUACAUGUACAUCAGUGGGUGCAGCAUGUCAGGAAGGCACAGUGUCAGAGUGCUCUGCUCUGUGGCAGGCACUGCAGAGCCCAGGAAAUGUCUGAGCUGCUCUUGCAAUUUCAAGAUGCACCUCAAAGCCCUGCUUUAAGUGGGAAACGGGUGGUGGGUUUGUGAGGUGGGUGUCACACUCUCAGGGUAAAGAAGCAGAGCAUGUCCCCACCCAGCCUUUCCAAAGGGACAGCAGCUCCGCUUGGCACCAAGGGGAUGCGGGGCACAGCCUUCCCCAGCAGACAGGGUCCCUCCAGUGGAACUGGGGGUGCAGGGACUGGGCCAGAUGGGCUGUUCCUGGGCUGGGGACCAUCCCAGGAAGGCCAUCUGGCUCCUGAAGCAUCGCACAGACCCUGCCCCAAUUCCAGCCGGAGCAGCAGCAGCAGCAGCAAACAGGCUUCGCGCAGCCGCCAAGAUGUUUGCUGGAGCAGAGGCACGCAUAAACAUUUUGUUUAAUCAAGGACUGGGAGUGAACACAGUGUACCCUGGCUCGGUGCAGCGGGAACAGCUGCGGCCCUGCGGGGCAGGGCCAGGGACACGGAUCGGCGGUGGCAGAGCGACCUCCCGUGGCACGGUCCCGACCCCCGGGUGCUCGGCAGAAGGAAGGCCCGUGACACCCGUGUCCCCCCUGGCUGCUCCCAGGGCAGUGUGUCUGCGGUGCAGGGCUCUCUUCGGCCCUCCGAGCUGCCCUGCCCGUGGGGAGCUCAUGGCAGCGCUGUAUCAAGAGAGCCCGAGACCCUGGCAGUGCCAGUGCUCACACAGGUGGGAUGGGAUUCCUUCCUGCCCUCCUGGGAAUGAGGUGUUGGGGCUGGGGACCUCUUGUGCCCUGCCAGGCCCCCUGCUCAGCGAGAGCAAGGCAAGCUCAGAGCUUCUUCUCUGCAAGCCCCGAGUGAGCAGCAUGGUGCCCAGCAUCUGCUGAUGGAUCCCGGGCCAGCACGCAAGAAGCCAGCUGAUGGAAACGCAGAGCACAGAAUCCCUUUGUGGUGGAUCUGGCUAAGGGCAGGCUUUGAGGAACUGCCAUCACAUUCAGGGUAUUUUUUGUGCACUGGGGACUAGAUCGAGAAGAGCUUUGGAGAACACUGUGGAGGCAGCCAGACUGUGGUACUGCCAAUCAGCGCACACCUCUUCUUCCCACCAGCCUCCCACACAGCUGCCAAGCCUGUUCCAUGGCUUCCCAGGCAAUUAGUGGUUGCAACACACAUCCACACAGCCAGCAGAACCACUCCAGCUUUCCGUGUGUCCUUGAUAACCUCUUGCGGUUUUUUAAGCCUUUGGUAGUAAGGAAAUGACUGAGGAUAAUGACAAGCAUAAACUCCUGGCAUGCAA